UGUAAAUUUAGCCAGCGCCGUUGAAAAAGCUUAUUAGGAGUUGGCUGUUUACUUUCUCUGGGCUUGGAAAAAGACCUGACUGCCAUGAGAACAGAGUGAGAACCAUCACCUCACAGGCUUUUGGGGAACCAGACCUCGGACCUGGCCCUCCAUGGCGUCCUGGAUGUUGCCCGAGGAGUAGAGGCCUAUAGGAGUGUUGUAGGCUGUGCUGACCACCUGACGCUUGUCAUCGAUGUUCGCUGCCGCAACAAACGGCUGAGCUCUACGGUUGUGAGCAGCACCAAUUGGUUUAUAUUCCUGUUGGGAAGAGAAGGAAACCAGUGCAACAUGUCUGCGGCUGGGACUCCCUCAAUGGCCAGGAUGACAUCACCAGGACACAAGUUUGCUGCGGAGGCUUUACUGCCGGGUGUGAUCUGGAAGGGAACAAGAAGGAAUGGGGAGAGGAAUGGACAAAAAAUAAAGACUGUGGCUUUAGGUA